rnacentral:rRNA from 1 species
CAACGCCGCGUGCGGGAUGACGGCUCGGGUGUAAACCGCUUUCAGUAGGGACGAAGGUUACUGACGGUACUACAGAAGAAGGACCGGCCAACUACGUGCCAGCAGCCGCGGUGAUACGUAGGGUCCGAGCGUGUCCGGAAUUAUUGGGCGUAAAGGGCUUGUAGGCGGUCUGUCACGUCGGAAGUGAAAACUCAGGGCUUAACCCUGAGCCGGCUUCCGAUACGGGCAGACUAGAGGGAUGCAGGGGAGAACGGAAUUCCUGGUGGAGCGGUGGAAUGCGCAGAUAUCAGGAGGAACACCGGUGGCGAAGGCGGUUCUCUGGGCAUUUCCGGACGCUGAGAAGCGAAAGCGUGGGGAGCAAACAGGCUUAGAUACCCUGGUAGUCCACGCCGUAAACGGUGGGCACUAGGUGUGGGGAACAUUCCACGUUCUCCGUGCCGCAGCUAACGCAUUAAGUGCCCCGCCUGGGGAGUACGGCCGCAAGGCUAAAACUCAAAGGAAUUGACGGGGGCCCGCACAAGCGGCGGAGCAUGCGGAUUAAUUCGAUGCAACGCGAAGAACCUUACCUGGGUUUGACAUAUACCGGGAAACCGCAGAGAUGCGGUCCCCGCAAGGUCGGUAUACAGGUGGUGCAUGGCUGUCGCCAGCUCGUGUCGUGAGAUGUUGGGUUAAGUCCCGCAACGAGCGCAACCCUCGUCCUAUGUUGCCAGCGGAUCAUGCCGGGGACUCAUAGGAGACUGCCGGGGUCAACUCGGAGGAAGGUGGGGAUGACGUCAAGUCAUCAUGCCCCUUAAGUCCAGGGCUUCACGCAUGCUACAAUGGCUGAUACAAAGGGCUGCAAGACCGCAAGGUUGAGCGAAUCCCAAAAAGUCAGUCUCAGUUCGGAUUGGGGUCUGCAACUCGACCCCAUGAAGUCGGAGUCGCUAGUAAUCGCAGAUCAGCAACGCCGCGGUGAAUACGUUCCCGGG